GAUGAACGCUGGCGGCGUGCCUAAUACAUGCAAGUCGAGCGAACAGACGAGGAGCUUGCUCCUCUGACGUUAGCGGCGGACGGGUGAGUAACACGUGGAUAACCUACCUAUAAGACUGGGAUAACUUCGGGAAACCGGAGCUAAUACCGGAUAAUAUAUUGAACCGCAUGGUUCAAUAGUGAAAGACGGUUUUGCUGUCACUUAUAGAUGGAUCCGCGCCGCAUUAGCUAGUUGGUAAGGUAACGGCUUACCAAGGCAACGAUGCGUAGCCGACCUGAGAGGGUGAUCGGCCACACUGGAACUGAGACACAGUCCAGACUCCUACGGGAGGCAGCAGUAAGGAAUCUUCCGCAAUGGACGAAAGCCUAACGGAGCAACGCCACGUGAGUGAUGAAGGUCUUCGGAUCGUAAAACUCUGUUAUUAGGGAAGAACAAAUGUGUAAGUAACUAUACACGUCUUGACGGUACCUAAUCAGAAAGCCACGGCUAACUACGUG
rnacentral:rRNA from 1 species